rnacentral:lncRNA from 10 species
UGCUACGAAGUCGGAGCCAUUUGCUGUCCCUUUUACAGAUGAAGACAUUGAGGCUCAGAGAGGGAACCUGAGUGGUGAACAGGUCAGGGAUCCAAGUCCGGGUGCCAGCUCCUACUGCCUCACUCCUCCUAGGUCUCCUCCUGGGCUCCAAGGUGCUGCUGCUGGUUGAUGUCUCUGCUGCCUAUGUCCACCGGAAGCAGAAGGCCUGACUGCAUCCCAAGAGGAAGACCAGCACUGAGGACAUAGCAGAGUCUCAGGAAUCAUUUCUUGAAGGAUGAGCAGAUGACUAAAUGUGGAUGUGUUUCCCACAGCUCCUUUCCUCCUCCCCUGCCAUGUGGGACCCUCAGUCUGUGCUGCCUCCUUCCUUCCUUGAAGGGCUCAGCUGGAGAGAAGGAGCUGGCGAGAAGCUUCCCCAGACUCAGCUCCAAAUGCCUGUCCUCCCAGGACAUCUUCCUGCCCACAGGCUCCUGUUGCUCCUUUGCAGAGUCCUUGAUGCUCCAUAGCAGGGUCUUCAUUCAUGGUCCUGAGCAGAGGCCAUGGGAUGGGGCUCUGGGGAGUGACUCACGACACCUCCCUAGGAUGUGGGAAACACGCCAAAUCUAAACACAUUAGGACUCCUUGCAUCCAUCGCCUUGGGACUGGCCAUAAACCACAGACUCUCUCUAGCCCCUCAAGAGUUAUUCUGCCAUCUGGAUUCCUGCCUACUCCAACUUCCCAGCCUUGUUGAGGUUCACUAUUGCCUCCUGAAUACAAAUGAACCCCCAUCCCAAUUUUAAGAAAAAAUGAUUCUCCUUCCUCUUUGUCUCACACCAAGAAAGAAAGAAGCUCUCCCUGCUUUCUCUGUGAUGGGACACUAGUUCUGCUAGCAUCCUGCAGCCUUCCCAGCCCUGCUGCUCGUGGCAGAAAUGCUGCCACAGUCCAACAUCCUGGAGUCCUCCUUGAUUUCUCACUCUCUUUUUUUUAUACUCUGCAUUCAAUUCUGCCUUUGAAAUGCUUAUGUCCACUUAUAUGAGACAGUAAAUGUUUAACAAUGGACUUUCUGAAAGGGAAAAACAAAAAGCUGAUUUGUAGUGCUUGCCAAUCUCUGUAGUAUGAAAAUUCCCAACAUAGACAGUUUCAAGCCAUCAACAGUUAAACAACCAGAUUGCAAAAUUCCUAAAAUUUAACAAUUGGCUCUCAGCUGCUCCAGCACAGCACUGAGUUACAUGCCUAAUUCAUGCAUUUCUCACCUCCACCACCCUUCCCUGUCGCAGCCAGCAUCAUCUCUUCUGGUAGCAUUCCAAUUGCCUCUACUGGCUUUCAGUUUUCAGCCACAGUGAUUCUUUGGAAAAGUCUAGUUGUAUACUCCUCUGCUUCUUCUCCAACACAGCUACAUGGUUCCCUUCAUCCCUCCUUCAACUCUUUCUGCCUAAUGUCUACUAAUGUAAACCACCCUGUAUAAAAUAUCAAUUUCCCUCCCUACCCUGAUACUCUAAUUUAUCUUAACAUGAUGAAUUUUUCCUUAGCACAUAUUACCAUCUGUAUUAUUCUGAAUACAGGCAGUUCUCACUUUUCAUGGCAAUGCAGGAUUGUAAAAAUGACCGUGCAACCUGAAACCUGGGAAAGCAAUCUCCAUAUCCAAUUGGAAAAACAAUGAUCAUUCUGUGACUUUUACAAUUUUUUGUCAAAAUAUUAGAAACAAAGUUACAAACGUAGGAGGCAAUAAAAAUGUAAUGAAAUAAACAUUUAUUAGUGCACUGUAAUUCAAAGCAUUAGAAACAUUGAGAGUUCAAGUGUUUUAUUGAUUUGUAAAAAUGUAUCAAGAGUAGUUGGAUCAGUGCUUGCCACCUUCUUGUGCAUUUCUGAUAUGGAGCAAGCAUUGUUUCUACCUUGGUGUUUCAUCAUCUUCCUAAUUUUGAAUUUGUUUCCAACAUCUUAUCCUUUGCAAUUUGUUUGUUUGUUUGUUUUUUAAAUUAUACUUUAAGUUCUAGGAUACAUGUGCAGAAUGUGCAGGUUUGUUACAUAGGCAUACAUGUGCCAUGGUGGUUUGCUGCACCCAUCAACCCAUCAUCUACAUUAUGUAUUUCUCCUAAUGCUAUUCCUCCCCUUGCCCCCCCACCCCCCAACAGGCCCCGGUGUGUAAUGAUCCCCUCCCUGCAUACAUGUGUUCUCAUUGUUCAACUCCCACUUAUAAAUGAGAACAUGCGGUGUUUGGUUCUCUGUUCCUGUGUUAGUUUGCUGAGAAUGAUGGUUUCCAGCAUCACUCAUGUCCGUGCAAAGGACAUGAACUCAUUCUUUCUUAUGGCUGCAUAGUAUUUGAUUGUGUAUAUGUGCCACAUUUUCUUUAUCCAGUCUAUCAUUGAUGGGCAUUUGGGUUGGUUCCAAGUCUUUGUUAUUGUGAAUAGUGCUGCAAUAAACAUACGUGUAUGUGUCUUUAUAGUAGCAUGAUUUAUAAUCCUUUGGGUAUAUACCCAGUAAUGGGAUUGCUGGGUCAAAUGGUAUUUCUAGUUCUAGAUCCCUGAGGAAUCACCACACUAUCUUCCACAAUGGUUGAACUAAUUUACAUUCCCACCAACAGUGUAAAAGCAUUUCUAUUUCUCCACAUGCUCUCCAGCAUCUGUUGUUUCCUGACUUUUUAAUGAUCGCCAUUCUAACUAGCGUGAGAUGGUAUCUCAUUGUGGUUUUCAUUUGCAUUUCUCUAAUGACCAGUGAUGAUGAGCUUUUUUUCAUAUGUUUGUUGGCUGCAUAAAUGUCUUCUUUUGAGAAGCGUCUGUUCAUAUCCUUUC